UACGAAGGACGAACGCUGGCGGCGUGCUUAACACAUGCAAGUCGAACGGAAAGGCCCUGCUUUGUGGGUGCUCGAGUGGCGAACGGGUGAGUAACACGUGAGUAACCUGCCCUUGACUUUGGGAUAACUUCAGGAAACUGGGGCUAAUACCGGAUAGGAGCUCCUGCUGCAUGGUGGGGUUGGAAAGUUUCGGCGGUUGGGAUGGACUCGCGGCUUAUCAGCUUGUUGGUGGGGUAGUGGCUUACCAAGGCUUUGACGGGUAGCCGGCCUGAGAGGGUGACCGGCCACAUUGGGACUGAGAUACGGCCCAGACUCCUACGGGAGGCAGCAGUGGGGAAUAUUGCACAAUGGGCGGAAGCCUGAUGCAGCAACGCCGCGUGCGGGAUGACGGCCUUCGGGUUGUAAACCGCUUUCGCCUGUGACGAAGCGUGAGUGACGGUAAUGGGUAAAGAAGCACCGGCUAACUACGUG
rnacentral:rRNA from 1 species